rnacentral:rRNA from 1 species
UGCCGGCGACCGGCGCACGGGUGAGUAACACGUAUGCGACCUGCCCCCCGCAGGGGGAUAACCGGGAGAAAUCCCGACUAAUACCGCGUAACGCCGCGGACCUGCAUGGGUCUGCGGCCAAAGGAAGCGAUUCCGGCGGGGGAUGGGCAUGCGGCGCAUUAGCUAGUCGGCGGGGUAACGGCCCACCGAGGCGACGAUGCGUAGGGGUUCUGAGAGGAAGGUCCCCCACACUGGUACUGAGACACGGACCAGACUCCUACGGGAGGCAGCAG